UACAGAGGGUGCAAGCGUUGUUCGGAAUUAUUGGGCGUAAAGCGUGCGCAGGCGGUUUCUUAAGUCAGAUGUGAAAGCCCCGGGCUUAACCUGGGAACUGCGUUUGAAACUGGGAGACUUGAGUGUGGCAGAGGGGGGUGGAAUUCCACGUGUAGCAGUGAAAUGCGUAGAUAUGUGGAGGAACACCGAUGGCGAAGGCAGCCCCCUGGGUUAACACUGACGCUCAUGCACGAAAGCGUGGGGAGCAAACAGG
rnacentral:rRNA from 1 species